AGUUUGGUGUGGAAGAGAAAUAAUUGUUUGAAAAAGAAAAGAAAAGAGAAAGAAAUAAUAAUUAUAAUAUGUUAUUAUUACUAUUUUGAUUAAAAAUCCUUCUCAUUUCACGUGCCCUUAUUCUUAUUCACCUUCUUCCUUCUUCUUCUUCCUCGUGUGUUUCAGUCGGCUGACCCUCUGCUUUCUUUCUUCUUCUUUCUGAUCAACUGCUCCCCCACCCACUACCGUCUUCGUUAGUCGAGUCACUUCCGUCCGUUUAAGCCAUAGCCUCCACGAAGCCGAUUGUCCCGUUUGAGUCGUACAACCCAUUGAAGCAUCGCCCUAUCUUCAUCAGCUGCGUCGCGGGCAAGCUCAGUCGAAGCCAUCGGUUCAUCCAACCGUUCGCGUAGGGUUUCUCUCUCGGUUUGUCAAUUGCCCGGUUGCCUCCAUCUUUCAAGCCGCACACGUCUCUGUCUCUUCCAGUCCUGCCUGCAAGUCGACGCUCACCUCUCCUAACCAGUCGCUCAGAUCUGUUUUGCAUGCCAUUUCGACUCAAUUCAUACGGCGCUACCGUUUCUUCCUUGUUGUGAACCAUUGGGUUUAUUUUUGGUACUAUUUGAAGUCAGCUAGCGAAUCCUUAAAUUUUCAAUAGGUUUGGGGUUGGAGUUUGAUUCUUCAUCUAUUUGGGUUGCUUUAUUGGACUAAUUUAGUAUGAUAAAGGAGCUUAAUUAUAGUGAAGUUACGAGGGAAAGGUAAUACAAGAGGUAGACUGACGAGAGACAAGGACAUGUGAUCGCCCUAAAGAGAAUUAUGUCAAAAAUGCUUCCGUUUAUUGUUUUAUUGUUUUUAAGUUUUUUUUUAAAAUUAAAAUGAGUUUAUGGUUAGUGACUUUAUAAAUAGUACUUUUGAAAUUUUAUUUUGUUUGAAAUAGGGCCCAAAUAAAAUUUAUUUGAUGUUUAUGCGAGAUUUUAUGACUUUUUAUGUUAAACGAAGUGUUUUUAUGUGAAAGUAAGGAUCUCAGCUUAGAUAGAAAAGUUGGAUCGUUACGGUAUAAGAAAAUUUCCCUUUUUAAAUCCUUUAUCAAAACUUUGGAAAGAAAUCAUUUCUUCUUGAUUCUUUCAUCGUUAUUCAAAUUGCAACAUA